rnacentral:rRNA from 1 species
UACGUAGGGGGCAAGCGUUGUCCGGAUUUAUUGGGCGUAAAGCGUGCGCAGGCGGCUUUGCAAGACAGAUGUGAAAUCCCCGGGCUUAACCUGGGAACUGCAUUUGUGACUGCAUGGCUAGAGUGCGGCAGAGGGGGAUGGAAUUCCGCGUGUAGCAGUGAAAUGCGUAGAUAUGCGGAGGAACACCGAUGGCGGAAGGCAAUCCCCUGGGCCUGCACUGACGCUCAUGCACGAAAGCGUGGGGAGCAAACAGG